GAUCGUAUCGAUUGUCCAAACGAGAACGAACGUUUUGCAUAUACGUGGAAAACGAAGCCGCGUGCGUUAUGCGCCGCUCUGUUCCCGUUUAACUUGGUUUCCGGGCGUGCCGAACAGCUCCCAAAUACGAUUAGCGGAGGCUUUACGAAACUUGACGCGGCUGAAUCCCGUUAGGGGGAUGUUAUAUUUGGUUACGGCACGUUGCUUUCGUGUUCAUCGAAUUCGACCAAAGAAAAUAAAGUUUCGCGUAUCGUGAACAUCAAAUUUUCACCAUCUGUCCGCCGUGGCUUGAAACUUUCCCUUCUUAAUCAUCUUUUUUCUUACGAUGUUUCAUCACCGUAUGUAUAUAUGUGUCUAAACGUCAUAUUCUAAUCUAUCGUUUUUCUUUGUGCGUGCAUAAUACAAAAAGUGGAAGAAGGAAGAAAAGUUAUUCUAAAAAUUGUGAAUUGAAAGGUUUAUAUCGAUUGGUUUUUGGAACGAGCAUUGACUUUCGUUUCAAUUUCUUAUUCAUCGUAUUAAAUUAUGAAUAAAAAGUGACAUCGAAUAUGUAUACAUGUAUACGUAUGUUUAAACGCCAUAUUCUAACCUAUCGUUUUCUUAUUCGCGUAUUCAGGUUUUCACUGUGCGUGUAUAAUAAAAAAAUGGAGAAAAGAAGAAAAGUUAUUUUAAAAAUUGUGAAUUGAAAGGAUCGUUUAUAUUGAUUGAUUUUUGGAACGAGCAUUUCGUUUCAGUUUCUUAUUUAAUGUAUUAAGUUACGAAUAAGAAGUAACAUCGAAUUUUUUUUGGACGUGUAUAAUAAAAAAAAUGGAGGAAGGAAGAAAAGUUAUUCUAAAAAUUAUGAAUUGAAAGGAUCGUUUAUAUUGAUUGGUUUUUGGAACGAGCAUUGGCUUUCGUUUUAGUUUCUUAAUUUAUCGUAUUAAGUUACGAAUAAAAAGUGACAUCGAGUUGAUACAAUAUUUAGAUACUCUCGUUUGAUUCAACACGCGUGCAGCGCGUGUACUACGUACUUAUGUGCUUGUCGCAGAUUCCCUGACACGAUAACAUACAUAUCAUACCUGCCAUACCAAACUGACAAACAUUUGUAAAUGAAUCAUAUAAAGGAAUGGAAAAGAA